UAGCAACCCCAGCAGCAAACAAUGCUGCCAAGAAAGUCUUCCCUACAAAGCUGCCUGUGCUGCUGGGGAGCCCAGAAAAAUGGCCAGCCAUCUGCAAAGACCACCCAGAGGGCUGGACGACCCAUCCCAAGUGAGAGAAACUUUCUUGAAGAUGGUCCACGCCCAUGAGACCCUCCCGACCCCGUGCACGUGGGCCCAACGCGAGUUCCUCCUCCCCAGGGAGCCCAAGGAGCUACCCGGCUUCACCCAGCAAGCCUACCACCAGCUGGCCCUGAAGCCGCCACCCUACACGGAGAUGAAGGCCAAGGUGCAUCAGCGACUGGCCUGCCCCUGGAAGGACACAGCCCAGCACACCUGGGGCUUCCACACCUGGCUGGAUGUCGGGCGUCUGCCGGCCACCUUCCCCUCCAGGCCCGACAAGCCCUACGACAGCAACGUCUGGCGAUGGCUGACGGACUCCAGGGCCCACCGCCAGCCCCCAGCAGAGCCCCCUGUGCCCCCUCCCUCCUGGCUGGGUCAGAACAGCUUCCUGACCUUCAUCUCCUGUACUCCGAUCUUCUUGGACGUGAACAGGAGGAAACAGGUGAUCCUCAGGACGGUGAAGGAACUCCAAGAGGCGGAGAAACUCAAACUGAGGAGUGAAGUGAGGGCACCCCCUCUCGACACCCAUGGCAACAUCCUUCCCCCCAAGGCCUCCAAGAAGUACCGGCACUUCUCAGCUGGUAGAAGGUAUGAGUCCGGGGGCCUCCAGCUCAUGCCCAACCCACUUCCCAAUGAUCUGGCCAGGAGCUGGCCCUGCCCAAACCCGCUGCCUCACUACCGGGAGCAGACGGCCAGGCUGGCCUUGCUGCCCAGCGCGCCUCUGAGCCAGGACCUGGUGAGGAACUACCAAACCCUGCUGGAGAGCCGGGUGGCCUUGCCCCUCCACUCUCUCUCCAGGGCCCGUUCUGGCAGGACCUCAGUGAGGAGACCUGGACACCUGUAGGAGCGCCUCCAGGUGUGUGGGCUCCAUGGUGGGCACACGGAGCCCCCAGCUGUGGUGUCCUCACCCCACGCACCUUCAGCAGGAAGUCUCGGGUGCCAAAGGACUCAGGCUUAUGCAGACAAAGCCUCUCCACCACCCUCCCCAGCUUCAUCUGUACCCUGGCUUCUGGAGACUCUACCGAAAUUCUCAUCUGUUCUGUCCUCCUUGGAGCGACUGCUCAAGGCAGCCCUCCCUGGACCAUCUGAAGUCUGGACAGAGGCCGGAAGGCACCCUGCUGGGUUAUGGGUCCCACACAGGGUUUGGGGGAGCAGAGGUUGGGCCAAGGCUGUGCUGGAGGGGGGAGAGCUGGGUCUGAGGAAGGCUGACCAGGCCUUGGCGGAAGGACAAGAACAAAGUGGAGAUUUAAGGUAAAAGUGGAAGCAGUUCCCCCAGAGCCACACCUUGGGGCCCGUGCUCACCCCAGGGCCUCAGGUUUCGCACUGGAGGUGGGGGAGGCAGGCAAAGUGCAUGGGUCAGAAGGGUGCUGCCCGGCUGGGUGGAGAGUGGGCAGGAAGGGCUGGAGAGGGAGAGCUGCACCAGGGGCCCACCUCCCCUCCCCUCGCCCACGUUACACCCCCACGUCAGUGACCUUCCCCAGCUGGUUUCUCUUGGCUUCUCUGCCCCCUGCCCUCUUUGCCCACUUGUCUCAAGCCUGUGGGAAUCAGGAGGCACCUGGGAAUCAAAUAUCACCAGGGUUCGAGCCCUGGUCUAGCCGCUCACCAGAUGAGCGCCCUCUAAGAGAGUCCUUGUUCCCCCCAGGCUCUCAGCUUCCUCCUCUGCACGGUGGGAACCACUAGGGCAAAAAUAAGUGGAAUAGGGCUUCCUUGGUGACUCAGUGGUUAAGAAUCUGCCUGUCAAAGCAGGAGACACAGGUUUGAUCCCU